rnacentral:rRNA from 1 species
CGGAAUCACUGGGCGUAAAGGACGCGUAGGCGGAUUAUCAAGUCUCUUGUGAAAUCCUAUGGCUUAACCAUAGAACUGCUUGGGAAACUGAUAAUCUAGAGUGAGGGAGAGGCAGAUGGAAUUGGUGGUGUAGGGGUAAAAUCCGUAGAGAUCACCAGGAAUACCCAUUGCGAAGGCGAUCUGCUGGAACUCAACUGACGCUAAUGCGUGAAAGCGUGGGGAGCAAACAGGAUUAGAUACCCUGGUAGUCCACGCCCUAAACGAUGUAUACUAGUUGUUGCUAAGCUAGUCUUGGCAGUAAUGCACCUAACGGAUUAAGUAUACCGCCUGGGGAGUACGGUCGCAAGAUUAAAACUCAAAGGAAUAGACGGGGACCCGCACAAGCGGUGGAGCAUGUGGUUUAAUUCGAAGAUACGCGAAGAACCUUACCCGGACUUGAUAUC